rnacentral:rRNA from 1 species
GAUGAACGCUGGCGGCGUGCUUAACACAUGCAAGUCGAACGAAGCAUUUGCGACAGAUUUUUUCGGAAUGAAGUUGCUUAUGACUGAGUGGCGGACGGGUGAGUAACGCGUGGGUAACCUGCCUUGUACUGGGGGAUAGCAGCUGGAAACGGCUGGUAAUACCGCAUAAGCGCACAAUGUUGCAUGACAUGGUGUGAAAAACUCCGGUGGUAUAAGAUGGACCCGCGUCUGAUUAGCUAGUUGGUGAGAUAACAGCCCACCAAGGCGACGAUCAGUAGCCGACCUGAGAGGGUGACCGGCCACAUUGGGACUGAGACACGGCCCAGACUCCUACGGGAGGCAGCAGUGGGGAAUAUUGCACAAUGGAGGAAACUCUGAUGCAGCGACGCCGCGUGAGUGAAGAAGUAAUUCGUUGUGUAAAGCUCUAUCAGCAGGGAAGAUAGUGACGGUACCUGACGAAGAAGCUCCGGCUAAAUACGUG